CAUCAUCCAUCAUUGUGGGACUGUACAGGGACGACAACAUCCUGGUGUUCAGAGUGGAAUAGUGUGAACAUUCGCUGCUGAGUCAACGAUGCUGAGGAUGUGGUGGACAAGGAUGACCUGAAUACGCAGAAGCAACUGCUAAGCACAGAAGACAUAGGAGUAGUGAAAGGCUCAGCCAAAUCAAAGUCCAGCGAUGUGAGGGUGACACAGCCUUUCAAGUCCUCGUAUUGCAACAUGAAGGACAUUUAAGCUGAAACUAACAAGGGAGAGAACUGUAGAUCUGCACCAGCACAGAGCACCAGCAUUGAUAUCAAGUUGGCCCAGCAACCACACCAGUCCCGCCUGCAGAAGCCCCAGUCCAGAUUGACCCUCCCCCUCCAUUGACUUCUAACUCCUCCCCCUUGACCUCCUGCCUCAAAAAGUCAGCAUCGUUGAACAACUCUGUUCUGCAGGAAAUUCUUAGGGUGAUUCUGUUCUGACAAACGCAAUGCCCACGUCACGUUUUCCAAACAUAAGCCUGGGUAGUUUUGUUAAGCUAGAGUUCCGCGUGGGCCUGAAAGGGACGAGUGUUACAGACACGAAAAGUUAUAGCAGUAGUUAUGGUAACGCUAACAGUCAGUUGUUGCUGUUGGACAUUCACAACAAAUAUCAUGAAGAAUAAAAAGUUCAAUCACUUGUUCCAAUCUUUAUGGGACAAACAGAAAUUGAACAGGAGAGAAUCAAGGAACAAUAAAAGCGUGAGCUUUCCUAGUCUGCUGUUGAUAGUUUGGACAACAGUAGGGUUACGGACUGCCCCAGAUUGUCCUCUCAGCGGCCAAAAUAUCAUAAUAGAACAGACUUUUGGCAAUGUUACUGACAAAAAAAGGCAAAAAUGACUUGGUUGUGAACACCAAGAGCGCGAUACAUCUAUGCUGACACAGAAAGGCGGUAAUAACUUGGUUUUGAAAACCCAGAGCACAAUACAUCCAUGCUGACACAGAAAGGAAGUAAUGACUUGGUUGUGAACACCCAGAGCACGAUACAUCCAUGCUGACACAGAAAAUAAGUAAUGACUUGGUUGUGAACACCCAGAGCAAGAUAUAUCCAUGCUGUUACAGAAAGGCAGUAAUGACUAUGCUGUGAACACCCAGAGCACAAUACAUCCAUGCUGACACAGAAAGGCAGUAAUGACUUGGCUGUAAACACAGAGCACAAUACAUCCAUGCUGACACAGAAAGGCAGUUAUGACUUGGUUGUGAACACAGAGCACAAUACAUCCUUGUUGACACAGAAAGGCAGUAGUGACUUUGCUGUGAACUCAGAGCACGAUACAUCCAUGCUGACACAGAAAGGCAGUAAAGACUUGGUUGUAAACACCCAGAGCACAAUACAUCCAUGCUGACACAGACAGGCAGUAAAGACUUUGUUGUAAACACUAAGAGAUCCAUACAUCCAUGGGGUGUGCCACAGCCGCAAAUUACGCCCACUAUUGUGAACAAGGUUCUUAAAGUGAACACGUCUGGUUUUGUUAUGAGCACAUAGCACUCCAAGCCCAAAAGGCCUCGCAUUAAAUUGAUGCAAGAGAAGGCUUUGGAAAAUAACAGCAGUUUUGUUGUGUGGUCCAGUACGCCCUUCGACUCGCAACCUGAAGAAAGCAGAACUCAAACUCGUCUCUUAGCAAUAUCAGCAAGGCUAGCAUGUCAUCUCAGCUUCUUGAACUUCAGUGAACUUUACUAGCAAACAUGACUAACGUCAUUGAAGUGAAAGUCGAUGACAACCCCCUUCUUGCACAAAUACUACAAUUGCUUAAGAAAUUCAGCACGGAGACGUCUUGCGUCAGACUACCAAGCCUCCUAUCAAUAUCUUCUCCCAUGUUGGCUACAUCAACACUUCCAACAGCAGAGCCUUGGUGAGUUCGACUUCCGUCUCGGCAUCGAUGUCGCUUAGCAACAAUUGGAUGAUUGCGUCGACAAAUUAGGCCGGACAAGUUGCUCGAACUGAAACGAUCUGAUUCAACAGGUAGAGCAGGCGUUGCCUGACACGUCCGUUAAUGUGACUGACCACGAUAUGUUGUUCUCGAAAAAUGUGAACCUUAGGCCUGGAGAGCAGUAUGCGAUUGACGCCAUUCAACAACAGUUGUUGUCGGCAAUUCUUGGGUUUGGGGUGGCGACUUCGGCGUCGGGACUCACUCCAUCUCUGUCUAUGGCCCAGUCGCAGCAGCAGCAGCAGCAACAAGAACAAUAAGUAGUAUCUUAGCGGUGUUCUGGGAUAUGCGGCUUCAUGUAUGUGCUUAAAUUGUCAUCCCUGAUUAGCCUCUGCAGACUGCACCUACAUUAAGUCCUAUUAAAUUGUCAUCCCAGAUUAGCCUGUGCAGACUGCACAUACAUUAAGCCCUAUUAAAGUGUCAUCCCAUAUUAGUCUGUGCAGACUGCACAUACAUUAAGUCCUAUUAAAGUGUCAUCCCAGAUUAGCCUGUGCAGAUUGCACAUACAUCAAGUCCUAUUAAAGUGUCAUCCCAUAUUAGCCUGUACAGACUGCACAUACAUUAAGUCCUAUUAAAGUGUCAUCCCAGAUUAGCCUGUGCAGACUGCACAUACAUUAAGUCCUAUUAAAGUGUCAUCCCAGAUUAGCCUGUGCAGACUGCUCAUACAUAAAGUCCUUUAAAGUGUCAUCCCAGAUAAGCCUGUGCAGACUGCACAUUCAUUUAGCCCUAUUUUCCCAGAAUGAGGCUUAUAUACUACACUUAACAUCAGUAUUUUAUGUGCCUGAAAAGUUCCUAGCAUCAAAUGGGAAUAAUGUGCUUUUACAUUGAUCACACUUAGUAAAUACAAUGCAAAUAGCACUUGAUCUGAUAUCAAUUUUAAUCAUAGAAGGUCAGGGCAUUAAGUUUUGUAUAUUUUCGACCGACAUUCAGCCCCUGAACCAAAAGUUAAUCCUUGCAUACAAAUCUGCUUUAAUAUAAUUUUUAAAUUAUAUUUAAUUUUAUUAAAAUAAUUACGUAAAAGCCUUCAGCUCAUUUUAAAAUUAUUUUCUUCAUGUAUUUUCAAUAUUUAUUUAAAUUCUUGGAUUUUGUUUUAAUAGCCUGUUCCUACAGGAACCCAUGCAAUCAUAGAUCGGUACCUAGCUGAACAACAGGCUGUCUGGUCAGCUGGGCCCAGACGCCCAGUGACACUUCCUGGCCCAGGACCUUGGGGCAAAUGCUCAACUAGUCCUACCUGCAGGGUGGAGCCACUCUGAACCUGGGGCUCCAUACUUUCUUGGCCAGCGGCCAAGAUUACCUUGUCAAUAAGGGACACAUUCCUGGGAUGCCCUAAGGUCUUUCUAUCUGUUCACAGAGGUCUUAUACUCAUAAGUUCAAGCCCAGUGAGUGAUGUUCACAUUAUCAAACUCUGCAUCUCAAUAGAAACCCGGAUAGCAAGGCGUUGAGUUUGUUCUUGAAGCAUUUGCACCAGAAGCAGUCAUCAUCUUGAUAUUCUGGAAUCUCCAUGGUGAAGGACGACCUCAGUCUGUGAACAAAAUGCAGAGCUAACCUCAGAUGCCUUUUGACGAAAUCAAACCAUCCGAUCAGAAACACAGACUGUUGCAGCAGUUGUUACCAUAUUGACCGCAGUCAAACCUAAGAAGCUCAGAGAUAAAUACUGAUUUAGUUCUGCUAGUCUCUGCAUAUCGCCUGGUUUGGUCAGCACUUACUCUGAUUCUUUGAAUAUUAUGACGGAUGGAAAUGAAUGACCUUGUUCAGAUCGAAAUGGCAGAAUGACACAUCACAACAAUUCAAGUGGAAAGCCAGAAAGUCAUGUCAACAGCCACAUUUUGUAUGUCACCAGCCAAGUUGUUUUCAAAGACAAACAAUAGUUUAUGCUCUAUUGUGUAUGUGACCAGCCAAGUUGUAU